rnacentral:rRNA from 1 species
AGAGUUUGAUCAUGGCUCAGGAUGAACGCUAGCUACAGGCUUAACACAUGCAAGUCGAGGGGCAGCAUGUUGGUUGCUUGCAACCAACGAUGGCGACCGGCGCACGGGUGAGUAACGCGUAUCCAACCUACCCUUGUCCAUCGGAUAACCCGUCGAAAGGCGGCCUAACACGAUAUGCGGUUCACAGCAGGCAUCUAACGUGAACGAAAUGUAAAGGAGAAGGAUGGGGAUGCGUCUGAUUAGCUUGUUGGCGGGGUAACGCCACCAAGGCUACGAUCAGUAGGGUUCUGGAGAGGAAGGUCCCCCAGACUUGGAACUGAGACACGGUCCAAACUCCUAGAGAGGCA